UACGUAGGGUGCAAGCGUUGUCCGGAAUUAUUGGGCGUAAAGAGCUCGUAGGCGGCUUGUCGCGUCGACUGUGAAAACCCGCGGCUCAACUGUGGGCUUGCAGUCGAUACGGGCAUCACUGGAGUUCGGCAGGGGAGACUGGAAUUCCUGGUGUAGCGGUGGAAUGCGCAGAUAUCAGGAGGAACACCGGUGGCGAAGGCGGGUCUCUGGGCAGUAACUGACGCUGAGGAGCGAAAGCGUGGGGAGCGAACAGG
rnacentral:rRNA from 1 species